CAUGCAAGUCGAACGGAAACCUUCGGGUUUUAGUGGCGAACGGGUGAGUAACACGUAAGUAACCUGCCCUUAAGACGAGGAUAACAAUUGGAAACAGUUGCUAAGACUGGAUAGGAAAAGUAAAGGCAUCUUUACUUUUUUAAAAGACCUUCUUUGAAGGUAUGCUUAAGGAGGGGCUUGCGACACAUUAGUUAGUUGGCAGGGUAAAGGCCUACCAAGACUAUGAUGUGUAGCUGGACUGAGAGGUUGAACAGCCACAUUGGGACUGAGACACGGCCCAAACUCCUACGGGAGGCAGCAGUAGGGAAUUUUCGGCAAUGGAGGAAACUCUGACCGAGCAACGCCGCGUGAACGAUGAAGUACCUCGGUAUGUAAAGUUCUUUUAUUAAGGAAGAAAAAAGAGUGGAAAAACUCCCUUGACGGUACUUAAUGAAUAAGCCCCGGCUAAUUAUGUGCCAGCAGCCGCGGUAAUACAUAAGGGGCGAGCGUUAUCCGGAAUUAUUGGGCGUAAAGGGUGCGUAGGCGGUUUAAUAAGUCUAUAGUUUAAUUUCAGUGCUUAACGCUGUUGUGCUAUAGAAACUGUUUUACUAGAGUGAGUUAGAGGCAAGCGGAAUUCCAUGUGUAGCGGUAAAAUGCGUAAAUAUAUGGAGGAACACCAGAGGCGUAGGCGGCUUGCUGGGACUUUACUGACGCUGAGGCACGAAAGCGUGGGGAGCAAACAGGAUUAGAUACCCUGGUAGUCCACGCCGUAAACGAUGAGUACUAAGUGUCGGGUAAAACCGGUACUGAAGUUAACACAUUAAGUACUCCGCCUGAGUAGUACGUACGCAAGUAUGAAACUUAAAGGAAUUGACGGGACUCCGCACAAGCGGUGGAUCAUGUUGUUUAAUUCGAAGAUACACGAAAAACCUUACCAGGUCUUGACAUUUUCUUGCGAAGUUAUAGAAAUAUAAUGGAGGUUAUCAGGAAAACAGGUGGUGCAUGGUUGUCGUCAGCUCGUGUCGUGAGAUGUUAGGUUAAGUCCUAAAACGAGCGCAACCCUUGUUGUUAAUUGCCAGCAUGUAAUGAUGGGGACUUUAACGAGACUGCCAAUGAAAAAUUGGAGGAAGGUGGGGAUUACGUCAAAUCAUCAUGCCCCUUAUGAUCUGGGCUACAAACGUGAUACAAUGGUUGAUACAAAGAGUAGCUGAAACGCGAGUUUUUAGCCAAUCUCACAAAAUCAAUCUCAGUUCGGAUUGAAGUCUGCAACUCGACUUCAUGAAGUUGGAAUCGCUAGUAAUCGCGAAUCAGCAUGUCGCGGUGAAUACGUUCUCGGGGUUUGUACACACCGCCCGUCAAACCACGAAAGUUGGCAAUACCCCAAAGCGGUCACCUAACUUCGCAAGAAGAAGGAUCCGUCUAAGGUAGGGUCGAUGAUUGGGGUUAAG
rnacentral:rRNA from 1 species